CGGCGGACGGGUGAGUAACGCGUGGGUAACCGUGCCUCAUACAGGGGGAUAACAGUUGGAAACGGCUGCUAAUACCGCAUAAGCGCACAGUACCGCAUGGUACGGUGCGAAAAACUCCGGUGGUAUGAGAUGGACCCGCGUCUGAUUAGGUAGUUGGUGGGGUAACGGCCUACCAAGCCGACGAUCAGUAGCCGACCUGAGAGGGUGACCGGCCACAUUGGGACUGAGACACGGCCCAA
rnacentral:rRNA from 1 species